ensembl:lincRNA
UUCUCACUUGAGAGAGAACAAAGCUAGAAGCAUUGACACCAAGCGGUGCUGGAGCUCCUCAGAACUGACUCCCGUCAACACCCUUGGUGAGGCUACUGUCCUGGGGUUGGUUUUGGUGUUACUAUAAUUGAACACCAGUUCUGGCCAGGCCCUUUGCCCAGCAUGCUCACAACCACCUAAUGGAUAUUAUCCGCGUUUCAAGAGGGGGAAGCUGAUUUGUGCCGAUUGGGGUCCAGGUUCACAGGCUCGUGGAUGGCUGUCAGGACCCAAAAACUGCGCGGGUGUGGAUGGCAUUUUCUCACCAACCCCCACAAUGGGCCUCAGGUCAUGAUCCUGGAGUCCUGCAAUCAAAUUCGUGUUGGGCUCCCUGCUCAGUGGAGAACAAGCUUCUCCCUCUCCCUUUGCCACUCCCCCUGCUUGUGCUCUCUUUCCGUCAAAUAAAUAAAAUCUUUUUUAAAUAAAUGCUCCUUUUGGGGUGCCUGGGUGGCUCAGUGGGCUAAAGCUUUUGCCUUCAGCUCAGGUCAUGAUCCCAGGAUCCUAGGAUUGAGUCCCGCAUCAGGCUCUCUGCUCAGUAGAGAUCCUGCUUCUCCCUCUCACUCCCCCUCUUUGCUUUCUCUCUUUCUCUCUCUCCCUCUCUGUCUCUCAAAUAAAUAAAUCUUAAAAGUUAAUAAAUAAAGUUAAAUUAAGAAUAAAUCUGUUGAGGGCACCUGGGUGGCUCAGGGUUAAAGCCUCUGCCUUCAGCUCAGGUCAUGAUCCCAGGGUCCUGGGACUGAGGCCCGAAUCAGGCCCUCUGCUCAGCAGGGAGCCUGCUUCCCUUCCUUUCUCUCUCUGCCUGCCUCUCUGCCUACUUGUGAUCUCUGUCUGUCAAAUAAAUAAAUAAAAUCUUAAAAAAAAGAAUAAAUCUGUUGAAUUACUAAUUACUAAACAGAAAACCCAGCUGGAAUCUUGACUACUACUCUGCUCCUUCCUCAAGCAUCCAAAGUGCAACGAAAGAUAGGAGGGACGGAAGCCAGGAGCCCCUGGUCAGGAGGGUACCAGGACUGGAAACAGGAAUUCAAGAGAAAGUCACCGCGUGGCUAAAUGGCUGUUGUUUUUCUUUUAAAUCCCGGCCAUUCAGAGACCCAUCUAUUCUACUCCUUCACGUUCGCAUGUUUCAUUAAGGAAUUACAUCUCUGGGAAAGGGGGGAAGCACGUGGGGGCGGGGGGGGGAGCGGAUAUUAAAUAGAGAUCUUUAGAACACCACUAUCCCCAAGCAAUGGCUACUUAAAGCCUACUUGGCCGGUAAGACCUCAUCACCCACCUGGUGGCAGGUUAUCCUAACUACAUGGCGGGGGAUGCUUGUGAAAAACUGCCUUCGUCCAGGUGAGUUUACAAAUCCAGAACCAAGACGGGCAGCCGAGGAUGCUUUGCAAACUUGUUUGCUGUGUUUGUUUUUCUAAAGAUCAGUCCGGCUCCUUGUCCUGAAGGAUCACAGGUUCCAAAUUAGUGGAGUCAAAAUUAAUGAGAUUUUCCAGUAAUGAGCCUGAGACUAAAAUUAUGGAAAAUCCACUAAUUAUAGACUAUGCAGCCACCUAGCCACUACUUGGAGCCAG